UUUUUUUCCCCUUUUCCUUAUUAGCCCCAUUUUUGUUGCCUUAAAACUUCUCAAAUUACCUUUUCCCCAAUUUCAAACCUAAAAUGUUAGAUUAAGGCUAAAAUUUAGCCUAAUCUUCUCAAAAUUCUUAGUGAUUGGGCACAAACUAAGUAACUAGUAAGGUAUGUACUUUACAUUGAUAACUGUUCAAGAGGUAAAUGUGAUUUUUUUGCAUGUUUGGUUCCAUAUUAGAUUUUGGUUUGUUGAACUUGCCCUAAUUGAGAAGUAUUGCUUCUCUAUGAGAUGCAUGGUAACUUGAUUUGGUGAAAUGUAACAUAGUAUUCAGUGUGACAGUCAAGGUGCAUUUAAGUUGGCUAAUACCCUAACUCUUAUCAAGCAAAAAGUAGGUUUGUGUGAGCUUAUAUGAAAAGCCUCAUGAAUAUGUGAAGAGAAGUGAUGAGGAAGAAGUGUAGUGACUUUGAAGCUCUAUAGUUGCUAACAUUUAGGUUUUUCUUUUAUAUGCAUGUGUGUGUAUAUCAACUCCCAGCCAAGAGGAGGUUCCUUUGAGAGCUUUGAGUCCAAUUAUGAGGUUAAAAGUUCGAGUGAACCUGUUUGGAUUGACUUAUUUUAAGUGUCUUAAGCCAAAAUAGCUUUUAAACACUUUUAUGAUGUUUGGGUAAAGAAAAAAGUGUUUUAAAACAAUUGUUUUAAGCCAAAAAGAUAAAAAUAAGCCAAAAGCAUAAGUUUAAUUCCUAACUUUUGACUUAUAAGCCCAUUUAAACAAGUUCUAAGGGAGGAAGGAAGUGCAAACAAUUGUUGUUCCUAAGGGGGGAUUGGGAUUUGGAUUUUCGAGUGAAUUGUCUACCAUGAUUGGAAUAAAAAGGGGGAUAAAUGAAAUUAACGCAUUGUUGCAUAAAUUGUUGUUCAAGUACUUUGCAAACAACGUAUAAGAGUGUCUUAUUUAUAAUAGAAUGAGUUUUGAACAAGUUGGAACUACUAGAUUUCUAUCUUAAUCUUUAAAGCCCCUAAAAAAUAACUUCCUUACUUUGAUAUUAAAUGACACUCAUUCCUUGUUAGUCUAUUUCAUAAAAAUGGCCCUUUUUUAUAUUUGCAAAGUCAUUAACUUUAAAUUUUGUUUUACUCUUAGGUUUUGUUUGGUACGUGUUCCAAUUUUCUCAUAUUUGGUUGGUCAAAAUUGUUUGAAAAAUAUUUCAUCUACAAAAAUAAGUUCUUUAAAAAUGACUUUCUUAAUGGAAAUAGGAUAAACAAGUUCCAUAGGUAACAUAACGUGCUCGUCGUCUUCUCCCAUUCAUCCAAUGUCCCGAAGCUCCGCCCUUUGACCAUUCCACUCCUGCCACCCCAAAUCCCUACUCCCCACCCUGUCCCAUCUCACAGUUUUGCUAGAUUACAUAUAAAUGUUCUUGGGAUAAUAUUUUUGGCUUACUUACCAAACACUUAAAAGUAAGGAAGAAACCACUUGUUUUCCAAGAAAACAACUUCUAGGAAAACAUAUUCCUUCAUACCAAACACAUUCUCAAUGACAUGCUCCUUUAUUAGUUAUAGAAAUGUCAAUUAAUUCACAAGUUCUAGUGGUACGUUUGAUAUGUAUGGAACUUUUUAUAUUGAACUCCUUGAUAUUCAAACACUGUCAUAUAAACUAAAAUGGUGGGGGUAGGAUUGAUGGUAUCUUUCGCUUUUGAAGAGAUAAGAUUUUCUCUGAACUGUAGAUUGUUUCUUCCGUAAGAUAAAGAAGAACAUAAAAAGUACUCCCUCUAUCCAAAUUUAUGACACUCCCUUUCUAGUCUGUCCAAAAAGAAUUGACACAGUUCCUUAUAUUUUACCGAUGUUGGGUCCCACUUAUUUGACAAAAAACCCACAAAGGUGUACUUUCUUAUUUAGAAAUUCAUUUAUUUUAAGGGUGGGUUUGAAACAUUACAGAGUCUUCCUAGUUUUCUUAAUAUCUAAUAAAAUUACAUCACAUAAAUUGGGAUAGAGGGAGUAGAAGAUAAUGAUAAAGAUCUCGUCACAAUGUACAUAAGGUGUUGGCGUAAUUUGCUGUUUGGAUUUUUGAAUGACAAGUCAACCUGGAAAAGAUUUACUUCCUCUCUGCCUCCAGCUUAUGCGUAUUUUGCCAGUUGUCUUUACUAAUGUUCGUCUCUCUACCUUUACUAGGUAGGGUAAGACUGCAUUCAUACCACCCUCUCCAGACUGCACUUGUGGGAGUGUGUUGGGUUUGUUGCUUAACUAAUAUUGGAUGGACUUUGUGAAACUAAAUAAAGUGAAG
rnacentral:lncRNA from 1 species